CAGUCGCGUCUGCUGGGACUCAGCCUUGCUUCUGCUUGGUGCACUUCUCAGUAGAUGGGCCAGCAUCAAUUUCGGACGUCAUAAAAUGAUUGGAGGAAUGUAGCUUUGAUCUCGUAUCGAAGUGUUAUAGCCUCUGGUAGAUGUGACGUAUUGGGAUUGAGG
rnacentral:rRNA from 1 species